CAUUGGUGCAUCAAAGUUAUCAGUUCUAUCUGGAAAUUAUCACAAUGAAACUCUUUGCCUUCAUCACUUUGUUCGUGUGCGCCAUGUUGGCUCUGGUCAGCGGUGGUGACGUGCACUACAGACAGGUGCGCAGCCCAGUGCCAGUCGAGGACGCAGCGCCAGCACCGGCACCUGACCAUUACGGAUAUGGUCAUGGACGCUAAAAAAUAAACAAACUUGUUGCUUUUUAAAUUGGACUUUUGUUUUGCGAUUAUUAAAAUGUAGUUUGGCAGUUUA